GGGAACCCUGACGGAGCAACGCCGCGUGCGGGAGGACGGCCUGUGGGUUGUAAACCGCUUUUCUCAGGGAAGAAGUUCUGACGGUACCUGAGGAAUCAGCAUCGGCUAACUCCGUGCCAGCAGCCGCGGUAAUACGGAGGAUGCAAGCGUUAUCCGGAAUUAUUGGGCGUAAAGCGUCCGUAGGCGGUGAGUUAAGUCUGCUGUCAAAGCCUGCAGCUCAACUGUGGAGUGGCAGUGGAAACUGAUUGACUAGAGUGCGAUAGGGGUAGAGGGAAUUCCCAGUGUAGCGGUGAAAUGCGUAGAUAUUGGGAAGAACACCAGUGGCGAAGGCGCUCUACUGGGUCGCAACUGACGCUGAGGGACGAAAGCUAGGGGAGCG
rnacentral:rRNA from 1 species